GCCUGGGUGGCUCAUUUGGUUGAGCGUCUGCCUUCAGCUCAGGUCAUGAUCUCAGGGUCCUGGGAUCAAGUCCCACAUCAGGCU
rnacentral:tRNA from 1 species